UACAGAGGGUGCGAGCGUUACUCGGAAUUACUGGGCGUAAAGCGCACGUAGUCGGCUUUGCACGUCGGUCGUGAAAUCCCCGGGCUCAACCUGGGAACUGCAUCCGAGACUGCAUUGCUAGAGUAUGGGAGAGGAAAGCGGAAUUUCUGGUGUAGCAGUGAAAUGCGUAGAUAUCAGAAGGAACAUCAGUGGCGAAGGCGGCUUUCUGGACCAAUACUGACGAUCAGGUGCGAAAGCGUGGGGAGCAAACAGG
rnacentral:rRNA from 1 species